rnacentral:rRNA from 1 species
AUGCAAGUCGAACGAGAAAGCGGCUUCGGCCGUGAUUACAGUGGCGGAAGGGCGAGUAAUACGUGGGUAACCUACCCCCGAGAUGGGGACAACUCCGGGAAACUGGAGCUAAUACCGAAUACGCUCUUGGAACCGCAUGGCGCCGGCAUGAAAGGCGGGGACCGCUUCGGCGGCCUGUCGCUCGGGGAGGGGCUCACGGCCUAUCAGCUUGUUGGUGAGGUAACGGCUCACCAAGGCGAUGACGGGUAGCCGACCUGAGAGGGUCUACGGCCGCACUGGGACUGAGACACUGCCCAGACUCCUACGGGAGGCAGCAGAGGAGAAUCAUUCACAAUGGGCGCAAGCCUGAUGGUGCAACGCCGCGUGAGGGAUGAAGGCUCUCGGGUUGUAAACCUCUGUCAGGAGCUAGGAACGGCCUGGGUGUGAAUAGCACCCGAGCAUGACUGGGCUCCAGAGGAAGCUCCGGCUAACUACGUGCCAGCAGCGGCGGUAAGACGUAAGUGGCAAGCGUUGUUCGGAAUCACUGGGCAUAAAGGGCGCGUAGGCGGCGCAGUUAGUCAGUUGUGAAAUCCCUCGGCUCAACCGAGGAACUGCUAUUGAAACUGCUGUGCUCGAGGCCGCGAGGGGAGUGUGGAACUCUUGGUGGAGCGGUGAAAUGCGUAGAUAUCAAGAGGAACGCCGGUGGCGAAAGCGACACUCUGGCGCGGUUCUGACGCUGAGGCGCGAAAGCUAGGGGAGCGAACGGGAUUAGAUACCCCGGUAGUCCUAGCCGUAAACGUUGGGUACUAGGUGGAGGCAGUUCCGAAACUGUCUCUGCUGGAGCUAAUGUAUUAAGUACCCCGCCUGGGGAGUAUAGUCGCAAGGCUGAAACUCAAAGGAAUUGACGGGGGCUCACACAAGCGGUGGAGCAUGUGGUUCAAUUCGAAGCAACGCGAAGAACCUUACCAGGCCUUGACAUGUUGGUGGUACGAACCCGAAAGGGGGAGGACCUCUUUACGGAGGAGCUAGCACAGGUGCUGCAUGGCUGUCGUCAGCUCGUGUCGUGAGAUGUCGGGUUAAGUCCCAUAACGAGCGCAACCCUUAUCGUUAGUUGCCAGCGGGUAAAGCCGGGGACUCUAGCGAGACUGCCGGUGUCAAACCGGAGGAAGGUGGGGACGACGUCAAGUCAUCAUGGCCCUUAUGGCCAGGGCGACACACGUGCUACAAUGGCCGGUACAGAGGGAAGCGAUACCGCGAGGUGGAGCGAAUCCCAAAAAACCGGUCCCAGUUCGGAUUGGAGGCUGCAACCCGCCUCCAUGAAGUCGGAAUCGCUAGUAAUCGCGUAUCAGCUACGACGCGGUGAAUAUGUUCCUGAGCCUUGUACACACUGCCCGUCAAGCCACGAAAGCAGGGAGCGCUCGAAGCGUUA